CUCUCUCCUCUCCUCUCUUCUCCUUUUUUCUCUCCUCUUCACGCAGUGUCCGUUCAUUGAUGAAUACAUCCUGGUUCUACACAAUAAGAUCAGGACUAAAUGUGUGGAGUUCCCAGAGUCGCCAGAGAUUAGUGAAGAGCUGAAGACUCUGAUCCAGAGAAUGUUGGACAAGAACCCAGACACCAGGAUCACCAUACCUGAGAUCAAGGUGAGGGGAGGAGCUUCACCCUCAUCCCUCUGAGUUAGACCAAUGGUACUGUAGGAGGUCUGUAUGAGGAGUUUUUGUUUUACACAAUAGGACUCACUAACAGGCGGUGCUGAACGUGUCCUCUCCGGCCAGAUCAACAGCUGUCCUCCGUGAUAAAGAUCCAACCACACACACACCACACACCACACACACACCACACCCACACACACACACACCACACACACACACACACACACACACACACACCACACACACACACACACACACACACACACACACACACACAACCCCACAACACACCACAACAGAAAGCAUUUCACUUAAACUUUGCACGUGACAUUAAAAAACGUGAACCUUUAAAAGCCGCAAUUAAUCCACAGAUCUGCUGAAAAUCAUCAGCUGCUCCAUACUGCAUAUAAGGUUGCAAUAAACUAAUGACGGUAAACAUGUUUUAAAUGUAAAUAAAUUCGCGUCCCUUUUCUAUGAUUGUGUGCACAGGACAUAAGUUGUUUUUCAAUUGAGCCCUCUGGCAUUUCUCCAAUCAGCGGUUUAGCUCUGCUUUAUUAGUUGCUUUACAUUUAAAGGUAAUUUCUGAUUGAGCUGACAUAUGCAGUGUUUAACAUAAAUGUGGUCACCGCGAACAUGGGGAACAUUGCCUUUAAAAAAGUGCCUAGCUAAAAGAGGCGGAUCGGAUUGAAUCCGGAUUGACUCGAGUCAAUCAGAAGUGCUAUUGACCUUAACUAUCAUCGCUGCCCUUCAUCCAGUCCUCAAUGGAGCGUUUGCACAAUAGAUUGCAAUCAAACUGAAGGCUGUGUGGUUGUUGUGUUGUGAUUAUAGCGGCGUUGUUGCUAGUGGUGUUCCUAGUCACCAUAGUAAUGGUCCCUGGGCAGAGCUGUGAAAGUGACACCAUUCAAGAAACUUAGAGGGCGGAGAUGAGAGAGAGA
rnacentral:lncRNA from 1 species